UACGUAGGGUCCGAGCGUUGUCCGGAAUUAUUGGGCGUAAAGGGCUCGUAGGCGGUUUGUCACGUCAGGAGUGAAAACUCGGGGCUCAACCCCGAGCCUGCUUCUGAUACGGGCAGACUAGAGGUAUGCAGGGGAGAACGGAAUUCCUGGUGUAGCGGUGAAAUGCGCAGAUAUCAGGAGGAACACCGGUGGCGAAGGCGGUUCUCUGGGCAUUACCUGACGCUGAGGAGCGAAAGUGUGGGGAGCGAACAGG
rnacentral:rRNA from 1 species